GAUGAACGCUGACAGAAUGCUUAACACAUGCAAGUCAACUUGAACUUCGGUUUGGGUGGCGGACGGGUGAGUAACGCGUAAAGAACUUGCCUCACAGAUAGGGACAACAUUUGGAAACGAAUGCUAAUACCUGAUAUUAUAAUUUUAGGGCAUCCUAGGAUUAUGAAAGCUAUAUGCGCUGUGAGAGAGCUUUGCGUCCCACUAGCUAGUUGGAGAGGUAACGGCUCACCAAGGCGAUGAUGGGUAGCCGGCCUGAGAGGGUGAUCGGCCACAAGGGGACUGAGACACGGCCCUUACUCCUACGGGAGGCAGCAGUGGGGAAUAUUGGACAAUGGACCAAGAGUCUGAUCCAGCAAUUCUGUGUGCACGAUGAAGUUUUUCGGAAUGUAAAGUGCUUUCAGUUGGGAAGAAAAAAAUGACAGUACCAACAGAAGAAGUA
rnacentral:rRNA from 1 species